CCCAAGAAUCAGGAUAAGAAUGGGACCUCUCCCAAUAAAAUGGCCAAAAUAAGAGUCAUUCAUUUCCAUUCCCCUUCCGGAUUCCAACUCCUCCCAAUCAAAUAUACUCUUAUUUUAUUUGAUGCAUUCUUCAUUCCUGGGGAUUUUCCUUGUUAAUUAUUUCUUUUUUCCCUUUCCAACAAUGUAUUUUUAAUUACAUUAAAAAGCUGUACGGCAUGAAUUUCAUUAUGUUGUUUGAUGCUUAGUUAGGCCAC
rnacentral:lncRNA from 1 species